AACGUAGGAGACAAACGUUAUCCGGAGUUACUGGGCGUAAAGGGCGUGUAGGUGGUAGAGUAAGUCCGCUGUGAAAGUCGGGGGCUCAACCCUCGAAUGCCGGUGGAUACUGUCGGGCUAGAGUGCGGAAGAGGCGAGUGGAAUUCCUGGUGUAGCGGUGAAAUGCGCAGAUAUCAGGAGGAACACCUAUUGCGAAGGCAGCUCGCUGGGACGUAACUGACGCUGAGACGCGAAAGCGUGGGGAGCAAACAGG
rnacentral:rRNA from 1 species